GACGAACGCUGGCGGCGUGCUUAACACAUGCAAGUCGAGCGGUAAGGCCCUUUCGGGGGUACACGAGCGGCGAACGGGUGAGUAACACGUGGGUGGCCUGCCCUCAGCUCUGGGAUAAGCCUGGGAAACCGGGUCUAAUACUGGAUAUGACUCCAUGACGCAUGUUGUGGGGUGGAAAGCCUUGUGCGGCUGAGGAUGGGCCCGCGGCCUAUCAGCUUGUUGGUGGGGUAAUGGCCUACCAAGGCGACGACGGGUAGCCGGCCUGAGAGGGCGACCGGCCACACUGGGACUGAGACACGGCCCAGACUCCUACGGGAGGCAGCAGUGGGGAAUCUUGCGCAAUGGGCGAAAGCCUGACGCAGCGACGCCGCGUGAGGGAUGACGGCCU
rnacentral:rRNA from 1 species